UACGUAGGGUGCAAGCGUUAAUCGGAAUUACUGGGCGUAAAGCGUGCGCAGGCGGUUUUGUAAGUUUGUUGUGAAAUCCCCGGGCUCAACCUGGGAAUGGCGAUGAAGACUGCAAGGCUAGAAUCUGGCAGAGGGGGGUAGAAUUCCACGUGUAGCAGUGAAAUGCGUAGAGAUGUGGAGGAACACCGAUGGCGAAGGCAGCCCCCUGGGUCAAGAUUGACGCUCAUGCACGAAAGCGUGGGGAGCAAACAGG
rnacentral:rRNA from 1 species